rnacentral:rRNA from 1 species
UACGGAGGGGGCUAGCGUUGUUCGGAAUUACUGGGCGUAAAGCGCGCGUAGGCGGCUUUGUAAGUUAGAGGUGAAAGCCCGGAGCUCAACUCCGGAAUUGCCUUUAAGACUGCAUCGCUAGAAUCAUGGAGAGGUUAGUGGAAUUCCGAGUGUAGAGGUGAAAUGCGUAGAGAUCGGCAGGAACACCCAGGGGGAAACCAGCGGACUGGCUCGUUGCUGACACUGAGGUGCGACAGCGUGGGGAGCGAACGGG